UACGGAGGGUGCGAACGUUGCUCGGAAUCAUUGGGCGUAAAGCGCACGUAGGCUGCGAGGAAAGUUGGGUGUGAAAGCCCUGGGCUCAACCCAGGAAGUGCAUUCAAAACUACCUUGCUUGAAUCUCGGAGGGGGUCAGAGAAUUCCCGGUGUAGAGGUGAAAUUCGUAGAUAUCUGCAGGAACACCCGUGGCGAAAGCGGCGCGCUGGACCACUACUGACGCUGAGGAACGAAAGCUAGGGGAGACAAACAGGAGUUAGAAUGAUCCCUUGA
rnacentral:rRNA from 1 species